rnacentral:rRNA from 1 species
UGGCGGCGUGCCUACACAUGCAAGUCGAACGAGAAAGUGGAGCAAUCCAUGAGUAAAGUGGCGACCGGGUGAGUAACACGUGACUAACCUGCCUUCGAGUGGGGGAUAACCUCGGGAAACCGGGGCUAAUACCGCAUAAUGCCUACGGGUUAAAGGAGCAAUUCGCUUGAAGAGGGGGUCGCGGCUGAUUAGCUAGUUGGCGGGGUAACGGCCCACCAAGGCGAUGAUCGGUAGCCGGCCUGAGAGGGCGCACGGCCACACUGGAACUGAAACACGGUCCAGACUCCUACGGGAGGCAGCAGUGGGGAAUUUUGCGCAAUGGGGGAAACCCUGACGCAGCAACGCCGCGUGGAGGAUGAAGUCCUUUGGGACGUAAACUCCUUUCGACCGGGACGAUAAUGACGGUACCGGUGGAAGAAGCCCCGGCUAACUUCGUGCCAGCAGCCGCGGUAAUACGAGGGGGGCAAGCGUUGUUCGGAAUUAUUGGGCGUAAAGGGCGCGUANGCGGUGCGGUAAGUCACCUGUGAAAACUCUGGGCUUAACU